rnacentral:rRNA from 1 species
AUUGAACGCUGGCGGCAGGCCUAACACAUGCAAGUCGAGCGGAUGAAGGGAGCUUGCUCCUGGAUUCAGCGGCGGACGGGUGAGUAAUGCCUAGGAAUCUGCCUGGUAGUGGGGGAUAACGUCCGGAAACGGGCGCUAGUACCGCAUACGUCCUGAGGGAGAAAGUGGGGGAUCUUCGGACCUCACGCUAUCAGAUGAGCCUAGGUCGGAUUAGCUAGUUGGUGGGGUAAAGGCCUACCAAGGCGACGAUCCGUAACUGGUCUGAGAGGAUGAUCAGUCACACUGGAACUGAGACACGGUCCAGACUCCUACGGGAGGCAGCAGUGGGGAAUAUUGGACGAUGGGCGAAAGCCUGAUCCAGCCAUGCCGCGUGUGUGAAGAAGGUCUUCGGAUUGUAAAGCACUUUAAGUUGGGAGGAAGGGCAGUAAGUUAAUACCUUGCUGUUUUGACGUUACCAACAGAAUAAGCACCGGCUAACUUCGUG